GACGAACGCUGGCGGCGUGCCUAAUACAUGCAAGUCGAACGCUUCUUUCCUCCCGAGUUCUUGCACUCAAUUGGAAAGAGGAGUGGCGGACGGGUGAGUAACACGUCGGUAAUCUAGCCAUCAGAGGGGGAUAACACUUGGAAACAGGAGCUAAUACCGCAUAACAGUUUAUGCCGCAUGGCAUAAGAGUGAAAGGCGCUUUCGGGUGUCGCUGAUGGAUGGACCCGGGGUGCAUUAGCUAGUUGGGGAGGUAACGGUCCACCAAGGCGACGAUGCGUAGCCGAACUGAGAGGAUGAUCGGCCACACUGGAACUGAGACACGGCCCAGACUCCUACGGGAGGCAGCAGUAGGGAAUCUUCGGCAAUGGGCGCAAGUCUGACCCAGCAACGCCGCGUGAGUGAAGAAGGUUUUCGGGUCGUAAAGCCCUGUUGUUGGGGAAGAACAGCGACGGUAUUAUCUGAAGCUGCUCUGACGGUAUCUAACCAAAAAGCAACGGCUAACUACGUG
rnacentral:rRNA from 1 species